AUGCUGUUGGAGGAUUCUGCCAAGAAGUGGCAGAACUCCUUUUUCUACGUCAGCAACCUUGGCGCGGAUCACAUCAACAUGCCGCCCUUCGUCGAUGUGACGCCGCAGAGGAGGACCAUCUGUUCCUACUUCCCCAAGAAUCCAUUGCAGGAUGUGCUCAACCUAUGCGCCUGGGUCGCGGAGAUGAAGGCGCGGGAGGGGCUCACCAGCACCGACCUCAUUGCCGCCUUCAUCAUGCGCCGGGUGCUGUUGCUGCAGCGCCGCACCCACAUCAUCAGCGACAUGAACGGUCUUCAAGACCCCAACAGGAUGUCGCCCCGGCGCCUCCUGGUGGAGCAGAUUGCCAGUCAGGUCAAUGACAUCUCGAAGGCCGGGCUGAAGGAGGAGUGGUGGUUCGGGAAGCCCCCCUAUAGCCACGGGAACCCGACACCGACGGUGAGUCCUUGGUCCUUGUUCUUUGCUUCUGCUCAUCUUCUUAUCCGUCCCGAAGCGACAAAGGAGGUACUGCUGAACACCAUCCGGCAUCCAUAUGAUCGAGUGAUGACGCACGUGGUGCAAGUCGGCUCGGAGGAUGCGGCGGUGCUGCUCGAGGAGUCGGAGGCGGCCGACGCCGACGCUGGCACGAUGUCCCAGGCAGGUAAGUUUCCGCGUCUUGAUUUCUUGUGA
rnacentral:rRNA from 1 species